rnacentral:misc_RNA from 1 species
AUAAUAAGUGUUUUAUGGCACUUUUUAAAUCCAUAUCCACCUUGUGUGCAAUGUCAGUCGACCUUCUUCAUGGAGAUCGACCAAACAUCAACCUUUAUCUUUUAACUCUUUGUCUGGAAAAUAUUAUGAAUAAACAAUUCAAAAUA